UUGGAGGGCAAGUCUGGUGCCAGCAGCCGCGGUAAUUCCAGCUCCAAUAGCGUAUAUUAAAGUUGUUGCAGUUAAAAAGCUCGUAGUUGAAUUUCGGGGUUAGUAGAUUGGUCAUGCCUCUGGUAUGUACUGGUCUCACUGAUUCCUCCUUCCUGAUGAACCUUAAUGCCAUUAAUUUGGUGUUUUGGGGAAUUUGGACCGUUACUUUGAAAAAAUUAGAGUGUUUAAAGCAAGCUAACGCUUGAAUACAUUAGCAUGGAAUAAUGAACUAGGACGUUCGAUCCUAUUUUGUUGGUUUCUAGGAUUGACGUAAUGAUUAAUAGGGAUAGUUGGGAGCAUUAGUAUUCAAUUGUCAGAGGUGAAAUACUUGGAUUUAUUGAAGACUAACUACUGCGAAAGCAUUUGCCAAGGAUGUUUUCAUUAAUCAAGAACGAAAGUUAGGGGAUCGAAGACGAUCAGAUACCGUCGUAGUCUUAACCAUAAACUAUGCCGACUAGGGAUCGGAUGAUGUUAAUUUUUUAAUGACUCAUUCGGCGCCUUACGGGAAACCAAAGUGUUUGGGUUC
rnacentral:rRNA from 1 species